GACAUAUGUGAGGGGCGAUGAGCAGAGCAUAGAGGACAUUCCUACAGAUAACGACCCACAUGACUGUACCAGGAACUCAGAGGAACAUCUGAUAUCUUCUGAUUUUAAAGUAGAGGUUUGUGGUGUCACACGAGAUACAUAUGAAGAACAUGCCAAUAUCGAAGAUAUAUCCAUUCACAG